UCCGGAGCUCGCGGUCGAAAAGAAAUGAGAGUUUCUCAACAAGCCUCGCAGUUAUGAGCUUCGGAGAGCUUCUUUGGCUUCGAGGCUCGAAUAUCGAAGAUAUCGCGAAAAUAUCGAAGAAGGAAUUAUUCGUCGCGUGCACGCUGCGCGAGUACUUUUUUUUCCCCCCAAUUUUUCACAGGAUCGCUCAAAUAAAUAAUAAACAAUAAUAAUAAUAAUAAUAAUUGGAGAAAAUCUUGAGAACAAACGAUGGGUUCGGCGAAGAGUGGAAAAAAUGUUGGGGCAAGAAUUUUCGGGGUAUUCGCGAGAACGUCGAUUUAGUCUGCGGUCGAAUGUCAAGCCGGUCGCUCUUUAGAGACAUGGAAGCAUUGAAAGGUCUGCGAGAGAGGGAUCCGUGGAAUAAUACUACACCCGCCGGGGGUUGCAUCGUGCAGCAGCAGCAGCAGCAGCAGCAGCAGCAGCAGCAAACACACGCGGGUGUGCGACCAAUCACGGGGUUCGAGAGACAUGGCUCGGAGAGUUGCGUGCCAGCACGUCGCGCCCGGCCAGCCGGCCGGCCGAGGGACGAAGGAGGAGUUGAGCAAAAGAGAGAAAGAGAGAGGUAAAAAAAUAAAUUGAGGAAAAAAUAAGACAGCGGUGGAGAGGGAGGAGGCUUCGAGGGCCGAAAGAACGAGGUGAAGGAAGAAGAAAAAAGAGGGACAAAACGAGACGAAACUGAAGCCAUCGGCGGGAGAGAGUGCACAAAGAGACGCGGUUGGCCCGUGUAUUUUUGCACUCUCGCUCUCUGGCUUUGACCGCAGACUGUGAGUUUGCUCUCAUGCGAGUCACCGACGGAGAAGGCGAGACUCUACGAGACCGUUGAGCGAAGAAGGAAAAGGCUUGCUCGCGAAUAUUCAAUCACUGUUACAAACACCCGCGCGUGACGGUAGAUUUAUCAAGCAGGAACGUACGAAAAAAUCAAAGAUGGCCAACGAGAAAAGGUCUUUUUUUUUCCCCUCUGGUUGAUCGCCAUACGGAGAGAGGAUCGUUGAAAAAAAUAUUUCGGGAAUGAAAAGAUGAUUUUGAAACUUGGGGGAUUUGAAGGGCGAACGUGAGAUCGUGCAAGGUCAAAAAGCCGGCAAAUACAAAUGAAAAUUGUAAUAAUAAACUAUGGUAGGAACUCGGUUGAAAUUGCAUAAUCGAAUGAAUGGAUAAUGCGAAAGGCGAGAGCCACCAAAAAGUCAACGACUUUGAGGUGAUAACGUCCGAGGAGCCCGAUGCGAAUAAGAGUGAAGGAGAGAAAAAGGUCGUCGACUCGAUUUAUAAGUUGCAGCGAGGAGAGAAAUUUGCGAGCGAUAAGGAAAGAGAGGCCAGCAGCGAGGGUAAGGGGGGGGGGGGGGGGGGGGGAGGGCAAGAGAAUUUGAGAACCACUGAUCGAGCGUCGCCCGCAGUAGCCUGAUUGCCGAACAAUGCGCGUCCUAACGAGACGCGGGGUCGAAGACUGUCCUUUUAUUGAUUUCACGGGGCGCGGCGGGGGUUACGAAGAGGCUUCGACGUCGCGACGCCUCCCACUCGACCCACCGGAUCUCCUCCUCCUCCUCCUCCUCCCCCACCUCCCGCCCAGAGGACCGCGUAUCAUUCAUAUCCGGAAAAAAGCCAAUUUUCACAUGUUCCCCAUCCCCCCUUUGUGUAUGCUCACACGUAUUCAACUCGCGCGUAUAUCCGUGAGAAAAAUAAUUACGAAGGAGGAAGAGGCGGCAGGCGGCGGAGCGGUGAAAAAGAAGAAACUGUGAGCGCACGAGUACAAUUUCGAGUGGAUUGAAAAAAAGAAAAAAACAGUCAACUGAAACUGGCCUACCUUGUGCGCCUUUAACGAAGCCUCGUUGCAGGCCAGGGUGACGUCGACGAAGGCCUCCGUUUGUAGCAGUUGAUGAAAAACCGACGUCAUAUUUGACUGGUAGUUGUUCCAGCGCAGGCAGUAAUGCUGCCCGGCCAUUCCUCCGCUGGAAAAAUAAAAAUCCGGGAUACACAAAGGUGCGCGAAUGCGGGCUCAAAUGGAAAAAAUUAAUGUUGGAGAUCGCAAAGCUUCUGAGUUUGCUUCCUGAUCUUCGAAUGAAUAUGAAGAUGAAAGACAGUCGCUUCGCCUGAAGAAAAUAAAUUAGGAAAUGUUUUUCUCACACAAUAAGGAAUAAGAUUCGAGAGCUCUGUUUCGUGAGCAGCAAUGAAUUUCCGACGUCUCGGAUAAUAAAAAACGAUGAGACUCCAAGAUGCUUAUUAUUUCGACGUGUACGAUAAAUACGCGUGUGGCGAAGUGGUCCGCUCGAGGAAUUCAACGAGUUUCGUCGGUCAUUUAUACUUUUUUCAAUGUCCCUAAAAUCAUUCUUGCUGAUUCCCGAAUUUUGGAAAAAUAAAUAUUCCGGCCAAAGUGACUCCGCGCAUCGUCUCCUACGCUCACUGUCAUUUACCAUUCCCGUAUGAAACAUCGAACGUUCCGACGAAACGAAAAGAAACGAGGCCCUUGGACGAGAUGGAAAAAAAAAAAAAAUCAUAGCGAGGCCCGUGAGCAAUAAAAAAAGAAAGACCACCAAAACAUAAAAAUUUUCGUCCGCAAAGGAUAUUGCUUGCAUCAUGUUCCGAUCAUGUAUGUUCGAUUGCGAUUUUUGUCAAUGAAAAUAAAAUAGACGUAUCA